rnacentral:sRNA from 1 species
AUCAGAAACUCUUCACACGUUAAUCUCUUAUAAGUAAAUUCCUUUUUCUCUGAAUUAGGGUAUUUCUUUAUGUCCAGA